rnacentral:rRNA from 1 species
GACGAACGCUGGCGGCGUGCCUAAUACAUGCAAGUAGAACGCUGAAGGAGGAGCUUGCUUCUCUGGAUAAGUUGCGAACGGGUGAGUAACGCGUAGGUAACCUGCCUGGUAGCGGGGGAUAACUAUUGGAAACGAUAGCUAAUACCGCAUAAUAGUAGAUGUUGCAUGACAUUUGCUUAAAAGGUGCAAUUGCAUCACUACCAGAUGGACCUGCGUUGUAUUAGCUAGUUGGUGGGGUAACGGCUCACCAAGGCGACGAUACAUAGCCGACCUGAGAGGGUGAUCGGCCACACUGGGACUGAGACACGGCCCAGACUCCUACGGGAGGCAGCAGUAGGGAAUCUUCGGCAAUGGACGGAAGUCUGACCGAGCAACGCCGCGUGAGUGAAGAAGGUUUUCGGAUCGUAAAGCUCUGUUGUAAGAGAAGAACGAGUGUGAGAGUGGAAAGUUCACACUGUGACGGUAUCUUACCAGAAAGGGACGGCUAACUACGUG